UACGGAAGGCAGCAGUGGGGAAUAUUGCACAAUGGGCGCAAGCCUGAUGCAGCCAUGCCGCGUGUAUGAAGAAGGCCUUCGGGUUGUAAAGUACCUUCAGUCGUGAGGAAGGUGUUAAGGUUAAUAACCUUAGCAAUUGACGUUAGCGACAGAAGAAGCACCGGCUAACUCCGUGCCAGCAGCCGCGGUAAUACGGAGGGUGCGAGCGUUAAUCGGAAUUACUGGGCGUAAAGGGCACGCAGGCGGUUAAUUAAGUUGGAUGUGAAAUCCCCGGGCUUAACCUGGGAAUGGCAUUCAAGACUGGUUAGCUAGAGUCUUGUAGAGGGGGUAGAAUUCCAUGUGUAGCGGUGAAAUGCGUAGAGAUGUGGAGGAAUACCGGUGGCGAAGGCGGCCCCUGGACAAAGACUGACGCUCAUGUGCGAAAGCGUGGGGAGCAAACAGGGAUUAGAUACC
rnacentral:rRNA from 1 species